rnacentral:rRNA from 1 species
GGUUGACCUCGGAUCAGGUAGGGAUACCCGCUGAACUUAAGCAUAUCAAUAGGCGGAGGAAAAGAAACCAACAGGGAUUGCCUCAGUAACGGCGAGUGAAGCGGCAAGAGCUCAAAUUUGAAAGCUGGCCCCCUCGGGGUCCGCAUUGUAAUUUGCAGAGGAUGCUUCGGGUGCAGCCCCCGUCUAAGUGCCCUGGAACGGGCCGUCAUAGAGGGUGAGAAUCCCGUCUGGGACGGGGUGUCUGCGUCCGUGUGAAGCUCCUUCGACGAGUCGAGUUGUUUGGGAAUGCAGCUCUAAAUGGGUGGUAAAUUUCAUCUAAAGCUAAAUACUGGCCGGAGACCGAUAGCGCACAAGUAGAGUGAUCGAAAGAUGAAAAGCACUUUGAAAAGAGAGUUAAACAGCACGUGAAAUUGUUGAAAGGGAAGCGUUUGCGACCAGACUCGCCCGCGGGGUUCAGCCGGCAUUCGUGCCGGUGUACUUCCCCGUGGGCGGGCCAGCGUCGGUUUGGGCGGCCGGUCAAAGGCCCUCGGAAUGUAUCACCUCUCGGGGUGUCUUAUAGCCGAGGGUGCAAUGCGGCCUGCCCGGACCGAGGAACGCGCUUCGGCUCGGACGCUGGCGUAAUGGUCGUAAAUGACC